rnacentral:rRNA from 1 species
ACGGAGGAUGCGAGCGUUAUUCGGAAUUACUGGGCUUAAAGCGUGCGCAGGCGGAUUAUUAAGUCAGUGGUGAAAUCCUGCAGCUUAACCGCAGAACUGCCAUUGAUACUGAUAGCCUUGAGUUUGGUUAAGGUAGGCGGAAUGUGUAAUGUAGCGGUGAAAUGCUUAGAUAUUACACAGAACACCAAUUGCGUAGGCAGCUUACUGAGCCGACACUGACGCUGAGGCACGAAAGCGUGGGGAUCGAACAG